rnacentral:rRNA from 1 species
GACGAACGCUGGCGGCGUGCUUAACACAUGCAAGUCGAACGGAGAGGCCCCUUUGGGGGUACUCGAGUGGCGAACGGGUGAGUAACACGUGAGUAACCUGCCCUUGACUUCGGGAUAACUUCAGGAAACUGGGGCUAAUACCGGAUAGGAAUCCUUGCUGCAUGGUGGGGGUUGGAAAGCUUCGGCGGUUUUGGAUGGACUCGCGGCUUAUCAGCUUGUUGGUGGGGUAGUGGCUUACCAAGGCUUUGACGGGUAGCCGGCCUGAGAGGGCGACCGGCCACAUUGGGACUGAGAUACGGCCCAGACUCCUACGGGAGGCAGCAGUGGGGAAUAUUGCACAAUGGGCGGAAGCCUGAUGCAGCAACGCCGCGUGCGGGAUGACGGCCUUCGGGUUGUAAACCGCUUUCAGCAGGGGCGAAGCUUGUGGUGACGGUACCUGCAGAAGAAGCACCGGCUAACUACGUG